ACUCCUACGGGAGGCAGCAGUGGGGAAUAUUGCACAAUGGGCGCAAGCCUGAUGCAGCAACGCCGUGUGAGUGAAGAAGGUUUUCGGAUACGUAAAACUCUGUCCUAAGGGAAGAAACAAAUGACGGUACCUUAGGAGGAAGCCCCGGCUAACUACGUGCCAGCAGCCGCGGUAAUACGUAGGGGCAAGCGUUAUCCGGAAUCACUGGGCGUAAAGGGUGCGUAGGCGGCUUAGCAAGCCAGGGGUGAAAGGCAUUGGCUCAACCAAUGUAAGCCUUUGGAACUGUUAAGCUUGAGUGCAGGAGAGGUAAGUGGAAUUCCUAGUGUAGAGGUGAAAUUCGUAGAUAUUAGGAGGAACACCAGUGGCGAAGGCGACUUACUGGACUGUAACUGACGCUGAUGCACGAAAGCGUGGGUAGCGAACAGGAUUAGAUACCCUGGUAGACUGUCA
rnacentral:rRNA from 1 species